GACGAACGCUGGCGGCGUGCCUAAUACAUGCAAGUCGAGCGCAGGAAGCUGACGGAACUCUUCGGAGAGAAGGCAGUGGAAUGAGCGGCGGACGGGUGAGUAACACGUAAGGAACCUGCCUCAAGGAUUGGGAUAACUCCGAGAAAUCGGAGCUAAUACCGGAUAGUUCAACGGACCGCAUGGUCCGCUGAUGAAAGGCGCUUCGGCGUCACCUUGAGAUGGCCUUGCGGUGCAUUAGCUAGUUGGUGGGGUAACGGCCCACCAAGGCGACGAUGCAUAGCCGACCGGAGAGGGUGAUCGGCAACACUGGGACUGAGACACGGCCCAGACUCCUACGGGAGGCAGCAGUAGGGAAUCUUCCACAAUGGACGAAAGUCUGAUGGAGCAACGCCGCGUGAGUGAUGAAGGUUUUCGGAUCGUAAAACUCUGUUGUAAGGGAAGAACACGUACGAGAGGGAAUGCUCGUACCUUGACGGUACCUUACGAGAAAGCCACGGCUAACUACGUGCCAGCCGCCGCCGUAA
rnacentral:rRNA from 1 species